rnacentral:tRNA from 1 species
UCCCUGUCAGUCCAGUUGGUUAGGGCUCUGCACUUUCACUGCCAAGGGCCCAGGUUCAAUUCCUAGUCAGGGAA